AACGAACGCUGGCGGCAGGCUUAAUACAUGCAAGUCGAACGGUUAAAGCUCCUUCGGGAGUGUAUAAAGUGGCGAACGGGUGAGUAACAGGUGGAUAACCUGCCUCUUGGUAGAGGAUAACGGCUGGAAACGGCCGCUAAUACUGUAUGUGAUUUUCUGACCCCCGGGUCAGUUGAGGAAAGGCGCUUCGGCGCCGCCAAGAGAUGGGUCCGCCCCCCAUUAGCUAGUUGGUAAGGUAACGGCUUACCAAGGCUUCGAUGGGUAGCCGAGCUGAGAGGUUGAUCGGCCACACUGGAACUGAGACACGGUCCAGACACCUACGGGUGGCAGCAGUAGGGAAUAUUGCGCAAUGGGCGAAAGCCUGACGCAGCCAUGCCGCGUGAGUGAUGAAGGCCUUCGGGUCGUAAAGCUCUUUUCUGAGGGAAGAACCAUACGAGGAGGUAAUGCCUCGUGUCUGACGGUACCUUAGGAAUAAGGGACGGCUAACUCCGUGCCAGCAGCCGCGGUAAUACGGAGGUCCCAAGCGUUGUUCGGAUUUACUGGGCGUAAAGGGAGCGCAGGCGGAUCAGUCAGUGGAAAGUGGAAUUCCGGGGCUCAACCUCGGAAGUGCUUUCCAUACUGCUGGUCUUGAGUACGUGAGAGGAAGGCGGAAUUCAGGGUGUAGCGGUGAAAUGCUUAGAUAUCCUGAGGAACACCAAUGGCGAAAGCAGCCUUCUGGCACGAAACUGACGCUGAGGCUCGAAAGCGUGGGGAGCGAACAGGAUUAGAUACCCUGGUAGUCCACGCCGUAAACGUUGUGCACUAGGUGUAGGAGGUAUCGACCCCUUCUGUGCCGCAGCUAACGCAUUAAGUGCACCGCCUGGGGAGUACGCGCGCAAGCGUGAAACUCAAAGGAAUUGACGG
rnacentral:rRNA from 1 species